rnacentral:rRNA from 1 species
UACGGAGGGUGCUAGCGUUGUUCGGAAUCACUGGGCGUAAAGGGCGUGUAGGCGGUCUGUUAAGUCUGAUGUGAAAUCCCCUCGCUUAACGAGGGAACUGCGUCGGAUACUGGCAGACUCGAGUACCGGAGAGGAAGGUGGAAUUCCCGGUGUAGCGGUGAAAUGCGCAGAUAUCGGGAGGAACACCGGUGGCGAAGGCGGUUCUCUGGGCCUUACCUGACGCUGAGGAGCGAAAGCGUGGGGAGCGAACAGG